rnacentral:rRNA from 1 species
CGAUCGGAGGGCAAGUCUGGUGCCAGCAGCCGCGGUAAUUCCAGCUCCAAUAGCGUACGUUAAAGUUGCUGCAGUUAAAAAGCUCGUAGUUGAACGUUCGGGUUCCGCGGGACGGGGCCGCCCCGCGAGGGACGGCGCCGCCCCGGGGCUCGUGAUAUCUCAUCUCGCCGCCCGUCGCGAGGCGGACGGAGGGAUGGAUGAGGUUACCUGGAAAAAUCGGGGCGAUCUAGGCGGGCGAACCUCGCCAACGAACGAUCGGACAUGGGAUAACGGAAGAGGGCGUCGGCUCGACUUCGUCGGUUCCUCGGGCCGAGGCACGUACGGUGAAUAGGGACGGUCGGGGCCGCCCGUACCGGGUCGUGAGAGGUGAAAUUCUAGGAUCGACCCGAGACGAACCGCCGCGAAAGCAUUCGGCAAGGACGCUUUUCAUUAAUCAAG